UACGUAGGCAGCGAGCGUUGUUCGGAAUUACUGGGCGUAAAGAGUGUGUAGGCGGUGCUCUAAGUUCGGUGUGAAAUCUCCCGCUUAACUGGGAGGGUGCGCCGGAAACUGGAGUGCUCGAGCGUGGGAGAGGAAAGCGGAAUUCCUGGUGUAGCGGUGAAAUGCGUAGAUAUCAGGAGGAACACCUGCGGUGUAGACGGCUUUCUGGACCAUUGCUGACGCUGAGACACGAAAGCGUGGGGAGCAAACAGG
rnacentral:rRNA from 1 species